rnacentral:tRNA from 1 species
GUCCUGGGUAGCCUAGUGAACAUGGCAUUUGCCCGAUAAGCGGAACACUGUGUUUCGAUUUCCAUCCCUGGACA